rnacentral:rRNA from 2 species
GAUUUCUGGGCUCAAGAAUUUGGCCGGCCACGGUUUCGUGUGUUAGUGCUUUGUUCUGUGUCCAUCCUUCCAAUUGCUAUUGGCUAUUCUUCAUUGAUUGGUCAGUAGUAUUGGAUCUUUUACUUUGAAAAAAUUAGAGUGUUUAAAGCAGGCUUGCGCUAUGAAUACAUUAGCAUGGAAUAAUAAUUUAGGACUUUGGUCUUAUUUUGUUGGUUUCUAGGACUAAAGUAAUGAUUGAUAGGGACAGUUGGGGGUGCUAGUAUUCAGCGGCCAGAGGUGAAAUUCUUGGAUUCGCUGAAGACUAACUUAUGCGAAAGCAUU